GACGAACGCUGGCGGCGUGCCUAAUACAUGCAAGUCGAGCGGACGAAUCGAAAGCUUGCUUUUGAUUCGUUAGCGGCGGACGGGUGAGUAACACGUGGGCAACCUGCCCUGUAGACGGGGAUAACACCGAGAAAUCGGUGCUAAUACCGGAUAACACGAAAUGUCGCAUGACGUUUCGUUGAAAGACGGCGCAAGCUGUCGCUACAGGAUGGGCCCGCGGCGCAUUAGCUAGUUGGUGAGGUAACGGCUCACCAAGGCGACGAUGCGUAGCCGACCUGAGAGGGUGAUCGGCCACACUGGGACUGAGACACGGCCCAGACUCCUACGGGAGGCAGCAGUAAGGAAUCUUCCGCAAUGGACGAAAGUCUGACGUAGCAACGCCGCGUGAGCGAAGAAGGCCUUCGGGUCGUAAAGCUCUGUUGUUAGGGAAGAACAAGUAACGCAGUAACUGGCGUUACCGUGACGGUACCUAACGAGAAAGCCACGGCUAACUACGUG
rnacentral:rRNA from 1 species